UAUGGUGACGGUGAUCCUGGAUUUGGCGGAGAUCCUCUGCGGCAACAGAACACAGACAGCCGGAAGGUGAUUCAUUUUUGAAUUACCACCACAAUUGGCGUUGUCGGCAGGAUCAGACUACUGAUGUGACUCUGACCGAGCACAGAGGACAACUAAAUAGGAAAAUUCCUCCCUAAGGGUGAGAUGCUGAACUCGGGUGGAGAACCUAAAUCAAAGAUCUGAUCCAGAAAGAAAAAAUCUGCACAGAACCCAUUUACACUGGAUCCCGACCUGGACUCACUUCCACCCCCCUACACUCCUGCAGCAGCAGCAGCAACCACAGCAACAGCAGCAACAACAACAACAACAACAAUAAUAACAACAACAACAACAGCAGCCGCAACAGUUGCUGCUCUUCUGACAGCUUGCAGAACAGCUUUUCCACUUCAAAUUAAUAUGUACAGUACGCUGGCCAUUCAACCAAGAGGAGGUGGACAUCAGCGAGGGAGAAGCAGGGAACGUGGUGGUCAUGGAAGAAGACAUCAGGGACUUCCAGGUGUUUGCCACCGCUGCGGACAAGAGGGACACUGGAGAAAAGACUGCCCGAAAAACAAAAAGCAGCCUGCCCAAAACUGACAGCAAGGGAGGGUGGAACGGAUGACAGAGACGGACCAGAAUCCACAGUUUGGGGAGUCCAAACCUACCGAUCAUGACAAAGUAAAACUUGCAAUACAAUAUUUAGAAGCUAAAGCUAAAAUACCAGUACCUAAAUGUACUUAUUGCAUGCACAUUGGGGAAACAGAAGGGGUUUAGAAAAUUACCUGAAUUAACCAUGCAUAUAUUGGAGGACAUGAUGUUAUAUUUUUAGUAGAUUAGACUGUUUGAAAAGAUUCUGCCCUGUCCCCAAAGCCAAAGAAAAGUUGUUGAUAGUGUAAAACUGUAGCGGCAGAAGGCAUCCCCAUGUUGGAGCCCAGCCAAUGUAAAUGUAUUUCCUUGAGAGCCAUAUAUAUAAUAAAAUUGAGUUUUAAGUAU